AUUGAACGCUGGCGGAAUGCCUUACACAUGCAAGUCGAACGGCAGCACGGGGGCAACCCUGGUGGCGAGUGGCGAACGGGUGAGUAAUACAUCGGAACGUGCCCAGUCGUGGGGGAUAACGUAGCGAAAGUUACGCUAAUACCGCAUACGAUCUACGGAUGAAAGCGGGGGACCGUAAGGCCUCGCGCGAUGGGAGCGGCCGAUGUCAGAUUAGGUAGUUGGUGAGGUAAAGGCUCACCAAGCCGACGAUCUGUAGCUGGUCUGAGAGGACGACCAGCCACACUGGGACUGAGACACGGCCCAGACUCCUACGGGAGGCAGCAGUGGGGAAUUUUGGACAAUGGGCGCAAGCCUGAUCCAGCCAUUCCGCGUGCAGGACGAAGGCCUUCGGGUUGUAAACUGCUUUUGUACGGAACGAAAAGGCUCUGGUUAAUACCUGGGGCUCAUGACGGUACCGUAAGAAUAAGCACCGGCUAACUACGUGCCAGCCGCCGCGGUAA
rnacentral:rRNA from 1 species